rnacentral:sRNA from 1 species
GCUGGGUGUGGUGUCCCAUGCCUGUAAUCCCAGUGGCUCAGGAGGCUAAGGCAGGAGGAUUGCAAGUUCAAAGCCAGCCUCAGCCACUUAGCAAGGCCCUAAGAACUCAGUGAGAUCUUGUCUCUA